AUGAACGCUGGCGGCGUGUCUAAGGCAUGCAAGUCGAACGGGCUCUCGGAGUCAGCAAUGAUUUUGAGAGCUAGUGGCAAACGGGUGAGUAACACAUUAGUAACCUGCCCCGAAGUUCGGAAUAACGGUUCGAAAGGACCGCUAAUACCGGAUGUGAUCACGUGAUUUAUUCGCGUGAGGAAAGCCCAAAAGGCGCUUCGGGAGGGGCUUAUGUCCUAUCAGCUUGUUGGUGAGGUAAUGGCUCACCAAGGCGACGACGGGUAGCAGGCGUGAGAGCGCGACCUGCCUCAGUGGAACUGAGACACUGUCCACACUCCUACGGGAGGCUGCAGUCGAGAAUCUUCCUCAAUGGGCGAAAGCCUGAAGGAGCGACGCCGCGUGCGGGAUGAAGGGCUUCGGCCUGUAAACCGCUUUUUAUUGGGAAGAAGCGCAAGCUGACGGUACCAAUAGAAUAAGAGGUUGCUAACUCUGU
rnacentral:rRNA from 1 species